rnacentral:rRNA from 1 species
UACGUAGGGCGCAAGCGUUGUCCGGAAUUAUUGGGCGUAAAGAGCUCGUAGGCGGUCUGUUACGUCCGCUGUGAAAACCCAGGGCUUAACCCUGGGCUUGCAGUGGAUACGGGUAGACUAGAGGCAGGUAGGGGAGAAUGGAAUUCCCGGUGUAGCGGUGAAAUGCGCAGAUAUCGGGAGGAACACCAAUGGCGAAGGCAGCUCGCUGGGACGUGACUGACGCUGAGACGCGAAAGCGUGGGGAGCAAACAGGG